rnacentral:misc_RNA from 1 species
AACCUUAUGGACCUGCGGGCGUAUACCUGCGGAAGGAUCAUUAACGCGCCGUGGAGGUCACCUUUAAACAGGUCUGGCCUUCCACCUGGCCACCCUUGUUUAUCUUUAACCUGUUGCUUUGGUGGGCCCGCUGUAAGGCCGCCGGAGAAUUUAAAAGUUUUCUGGCCUGUGCCCACCAAAGUCUUAGUGAACUCUUUGUUAAUUUUUUGCUGUCUGAGCAUUAAAAAGCAAAUUUUUUAA